GACGUAGGGGGCGAGCGUUGUCCGGAGUCACUGGGCGUAAAGGGCGCGCAGGCGGUCGCGUGGGCCAUCGCGUGAAAGCCCCCGGCUCAACCGGGCGGUGGCGGGUGGGACCGCGCGGCUGGAGGGUGGUAGGGGCCGGUGGAAUUCCCGGUGUAGUGGUGAAAUGCGUAGAUAUCGAGAGGAACACCUGCGGCGAAGGCGGGUUGCUGGGCUGACACUGACGCUGAGGCGCGAAAGCUAGGGGAGCGAACGGG
rnacentral:rRNA from 1 species